UACAGAGACUGCAAGCGUUAUUCGGAUUCACUGGGCGUAAAGGGUGCGCAGGCGGCCAAGUGUGUGAGGCGUGAAAGCCCGGGGCUUAACCCCGGAAUUGCACCUCAAACGUACAUGGCUAGAGCAUUGGAGAGGGUAGCGGAAUUCACGGUGUAGCAGUGAAAUGCGUAGAUAUCGUGAGGAACACCAGAGGCGAAGGCGGCUACCUGGACAAUUGCUGACGCUCAGGCACGAAAGCGUGGGGAGCAAAAGGG
rnacentral:rRNA from 1 species